ensembl:lncRNA
UCUCUGCUUGAGUUUGUGUCUUCAUGUUUCUGUGUGUUUGGCUUCGGUCCUGCUGGAGAGCGUGAAGCAGACCCACCCGCUCUCUCUCACACACACACACACACACACACGGCCCUCCUCCUCCAGAUACAGGACACUUUUGUUCUGUGUUUUCAUCAGGAGUCCAGUGAAUCGAGAGCGAGAGACAGUGUGACAGAAGAGACGCUUCCACAGACGCUUCAGAGCUCAAGUCAAAGGUCUGUCAUGGGCCGCUGGUCGACACGUCUGGCUCUUCUGAUGCUCCUCAUUGGUCAGAUUUCUGCAGAGACGAGCAGCAGCUCAAACGCCUGUCAGGAUCAGAACGCUCUUCAUGACCGGAUGGAUGCUGUAGAGAAGCGGGUGGAGGACACUCUUCAGAAGCUGGAGGCUGAGCUGGCUCUUCUGCUGGACGCUGUUGAGGCCCCUGAGUGGAGCCCCCUGCUGGACAAACCCCUCAUCGACAUACUGGACGAGCCGCCGGCAACAGACUCAUGAGAACAUAAUGAUCAUCAGAGGUGUGUGUGUGUGAAUCUUACAGACUGUCAUAAAAUAAAUGUUUCAGGUUUACAGAAGCUUUAAGAGGUUAAUGUUCUUAAGGCUUUCCUUUUUUUUUUUUAACCAAUGAAUCUGCAAGAUUUUUCCAUUUUUAUUUAGUGGAUAAGGAUACUUUUCCAAAUAGUACUUUACCAAAUUUAUAUUUAAAAAAAGUGUCUGUGCAGCAUGAAAGAUUUUCUGGAGAUUUUCUACAGCAAUGAGACUUAAAAUGUGCUUGUCAUGAAAAUAACAUCACAAUGCUAAAAACAAAAAUAAAUGAGUAAUUUUCUUUAUGAAAAAUAUAAUAAAUACAAUUUCUAUUUUGAUUCCAGGGUUAAAUAUGAUCCAGACAUUUCUUCACACGACAAUAACGGGACAGAGCUGAUCAUUUAGUUCUGAUCCUAUAAUGAGUCAAAACAGGGUUUAUUUUUAAGCUUUUCACAUUAAAAUUAAAUGAAUCAUUUAUACCAUUUUACUGAGUGUCAGUGGUUUCUUCUAGCGUUUGUUUAGAACUGAUGAUUUAAGGAACCACUGAUGAUGUUCCCAUAAUCAAUCAUUGUAUGCAUGCGAAUAUACAAAAAUAACACAUAAGAUGUUUACAGUGUACAUUAAUUUUUCUGGGUUCUCUUUACUUCAUUAUAUCCAGUUGCCUGUUCAGACUCCCAGCAAGCAUUGCUCUUAUGUGCUGUUGCUUCUGUUGUUAGUUUUAGUAACUUGUUUUGUUGUGUUCAGAGUUUGUCAUUUUGUUUUAAUGCACUGCAUCUCACUAGUCUCUCUAUGCUAGAAUUACUGUCAUAAAAUCAUUUUUCACAUUAUGAUCUGACUGAUUCAUGUUGUCAUGAAUAUGCGCUGACUUGGAAUGUUAAUAAACUAAAAAAAAAAAAACUAACACCAAUUUUUGACAUCCAACUCAAACUGUGUCCAAAAAAAAAUGUUGUCUUAAAUUUUUUCCCUUCUCUUAAAACAAUUUUUUUUUUGGAAUAGAGAAAAAGGGUUUUUAAAGGGACAAAAAAGUUUUUGAAUAGAAAAAAAAAUUGAAGGGAAAGAAAUUUAAGAGAACGUUUUUUGAAUAGAAAAAAAAAAUGAAGGGAAAGAAAUUUAAGAGAACGUUUUUUGAAUAGAAAAAAAAAAUUGAAGGGAAAAAUUUAAGAGAAAAAAGGUUAAGACCACCAAAAAUUGGGAGAAAAAAAUUCUGAUGUAUAGAGAAAAA